UCUCCUGGAAACGGGUGGUAAUGCCGGAUGCUCCAGUUGAUCGCAUGGUCUUCUGGGAAAGCUUUCGCGGUAUGGGAUGGGGUCGCGUCCUAUCAGCUUGACGGCGGGGUAACGGCCCACCGUGGCUUCGACGGGUAGCCGGCCUGAGAGGGCGACCGGCCACAUUGGGACUGAGAUACGGCCCAGACUCCUACGGGAGGCAGCAGUGGGGAAUAUUGCACAAUGGGCGCAAGCCUGAUGCAGCGACGCCGCGUGAGGGAUGGAGGCCUUCGGGUUGUAAACCUCUUUUAUCGGGGAGCAAGCGAGAGUGAGUUUACCCGUUGAAUAAGCACCGGCUAACUACGUGCCAGCAGCCGCGGUAAUACGUAGGGUGCAAGCGUUAUCCGGAAUUAUUGGGCGUAAAGGGCUCGUAGGCGGUUCGUCGCGUCCGGUGUGAAAGUCCAUCGCUUAACGGUGGAUCCGCGCCGGGUACGGGCGGGCUUGAGUGCGGUAGGGGAGACUGGAAUUCCCGGUGUAACGGUGGAAUGUGUAGAUAUCGGAAAAGAAACACCA
rnacentral:rRNA from 1 species